AGUGAACGCUGGCGGUAGGCCUAACACAUGCAAGUCGAACGGCAGCACAGUAAGAGCUUGCUCUUACGGGUGGCGAGUGGCGGACGGGUGAGGAAUACAUCGGAAUCUACUUUUUCGUGGGGGAUAACGUAGGGAAACUUACGCUAAUACCGCAUACGACCUACGGGUGAAAGCAGGGGAUCUUCGGACCUUGCGCGAUUGAAUGAGCCGAUGUCGGAUUAGCUAGUUGGCGGGGUAAAGGCCCACCAAGGCGAUGAUCCGUAGCUGGUCUGAGAGGAUGAUCAGCCACACUGGAACGGAGACACGGUCCAGACUCCUACGGGAGGCAGCAGUGGGGAAUAUUGGACAAUGGGCGCAAGCCUGAUCCAGCCAUACCGCGUGGGUGAAGAAGGCCUUCGGGUUGUAAAGCCCUUUUGUUGGGAAAGAAAAGCAGCAGGUUAAUACCCCGCUGUUCUGACGGUACCCAAAGAAUAAGCACCGGCUAACUUCGUG
rnacentral:rRNA from 1 species